rnacentral:piRNA from 1 species
UGCUCUGUAUUUCAGUUGUCCAUGUCUC